GUCAUCGUAAAAUAUAAAAAAGACAAUCAUGAAAAAUCUUAUGUCAAUCAUUUUAAAAAUCUAAAAGUAUAAAUAAAUUAAUAAUUAUGAUAAAAAAACUGUUCGUAACACAGUAACUAUAGUUGAAUAUGUUUAUUAUGGUGUAAAAACUGAAGCUGGAGCAAGGUCUGGGUAAAUUUUCAAAGGUGGCAAUAUAACAUGAGUAAAUACUCUACAUACUCGCUUAAGAGUUUGAAACCUUGUGUAUCGGCACCAUCAUGUAGCGUACACAGGCACCGACCCCGGCCAGCUCCGUGCCCAGAACCGGACAAGUGCUACAAGAAAUGUAUCAAACGAAAGUAUAAAUGUCCCAGCGCAUCCGAAACCGUCAGCAGGAGGGGCAUGCCUUGCGACUGCGCCAGGUUGCAGUCUAAAGAAUCCAGAAUUAGUAACAAAAAAUCACAUAAAACGCACAAAAAACGUUUGCGUAAAGUUAUGCGAACACGAUCGAUGGAAUCGCGUUGGCGUAAACAGAGAAAAUGCUGUGUUAUUUUGUAGUACUUACUUGAAAAACACAGCGAAUUAGAUCCAUAACUCUAAAGAUAAUUUUGUAUGAAAUUAAAUGAUUUGUAUUCAAAUUUAUAACGAACAAUUUUUAAACAAAAAAAACAUCUGUCUUUUAUGAACAUGUUUGUGAACAUAUUAUUUGUAAUGCUGAAACAAUAGACUUGCGAUAUUAGACAACGG